UUUUUUCUAGUUUCUUUAGCUCCUUGAGGUGUGACCUUAGAUUGUCUGUGUAUGCUCUUUCCGACUUUCUGAUGUAGGCAUUUAAUGCUAUGAACUUUCCUCUUAGCACCACUUUUGCUGUAUCCCAGAGAUUUUGAUAGGUUGUGUCACUAUUAUCGUUCAGUUCAAAGAAUUUUUAAAUUUCCUUCUUGAUUUCAUUGUUGACCCAAUGAUCACUCAGGAUCAGGUUAUUUAAUAUCCAUGUAUUUGCCUAGUUUUGAGGGUUUGUUCUGGAGUUUAUUUACAAUUUUAUUUCACUGUGGUCUGAGAGUUCUCAAUAUAAUUUUCAUUUUCUUAAAUUUGUUGAGACUUGUUUUGUGACCUCUCAUAUGGUUUAUCUUGGAGAAUGUUCCAUGUGCUGAUGAAUAGAAUGUAUAUUCUGUAGUAGUUGGGUAGAAUGUUAUGUAAAUAUUUUUUAAGUUUAUUUGUUCUAGGGUACAGUUUCCACUGUUUCUUUAUUGACUUUCUGUCUUGAUGACCUGUCUAGGUGCUAUCAGUGGAGUACUAUUUUUGUGUUGCUAUUCAUCUCAUUUCUUAGGUAUAGUAGUAAUUGUUUUAUAAAUUUGGGAGUUCCAGUGUUAGGUGCAUAUAUAUUUAGAAUUGUGGUAUUAUCCAGUUGGUCAAAUUCUUUUAUCAUUAUAUAAUGUCCCUCUUUGUCUUUUAAAACUGCUUCUGCUUUAAUGUUUGUUUUGUCUGAUAUGAGAAUAGCUACUCCUUCUCACUUUUAGUGUCCAUUUUCAUGGAAUAACUUUUUCCAACCCUUUACCUUAAGUUUUUGUGAGCCUUUAUGUGUGGGGUGAGUCUCUUGAAGACAGCAGAUACUUGGUUGGUGAGUUCUUAUCCAUUCUGCCAUUCUGUAUCUUUUAAGUGCAGCAUCUAGGCCAUUUACAUUCAAUAUUAGUAUUGAGAUAUGAGGUACUAUUCUAUUCAUCAAGCUGUUUGUUGCCUUAAUACCCUGUUUUUUUUUUUUUUUUCACUGUGUUAUUGUAUUAUAGGGCCUGUGAGAUUUAUACUUAAAGGAUAUUCUAUUUUGGUUUAUUUCAAGGAUUUGUUUCAAGAUUUACAGUUCCUUUUAGCCAUUCUUAUAGUGUUGGCUUGGUAGUGGCAAAUUCUCUCAGCAUGUUUGAUAAAGACUGUAUCUUUCCUUCAUUUUUGAAGCUUAGUUUUGCUGAAUACAAAAUUCUUGGCUGAUAACACGGAGGGUAAAGAUAGGACCCCAGUCCUUUCUAGCUUGUAUGGUUUCUGCUGAGAAAUCUGCUGUUAAUUUGAUAGGUUUUACUUUGUAGGCUACCUGAUGCUUUUGCCUCACAGCUCUAAAUAUUCUUUCCUUUGCCUUGACUUUAGGUAACCUGAUAACUAUGUUCCUAGGUGAUCUUUUUGGAAUAAAUUUCCCAGGUGUUCUUUGAGCUUCUUGUAUUUGAAUGUCUAGACCUCUAGCAAGACCAGAGGUUUUCUCGAUUAUUGCCUCAAAUAUGUUUUCCAAACUUUUAGAUUUCCCUUCUCCCUUGGGAACAUCAAUUUUUCUUAGCUUUGGUUGUUUGACAUAAUCCCAAAUUUUUUGGAGGCUUUAUUAAAUUUUUAAAAUUAUUUUUUCAAAAUUCUUCUUUCUUUGUCUUUGUCAUGAUGGGUUAAUUCAAAAGCCUUGUCUUUGAGCUCUGAAGUUCUUUCUUCUACUUGUUCAGUUCUAUUGCUGAGACCUUCCAGUGCAUUUUGCAUUUCUCUAUGUGUGUCCUUGAUUUCCAAAAGUUGUAAUUGUUUUUUAUUUAUGCUGUCUAUUUCACUGGAGAUUUUUCCAUUCACAUCCUGUAUCAUUUUUUUGAUUUCUUAAAGUUGGACUUCACCUUUCUCUGGUGCCACCUUGAUUGGCUUAAUAAUCAACCUUCUGAAUUUUUUUUCUGGCAAUUCGGAGAUUUCAUCUUGGUUUGAUCCAUUGCUAGUGAGCUAGUGUGAUCUUUUGGGGAUGUUAAAGAACCUUGUUUUUUUUUUCAUAUUACCAGAAUUGUUUUUCUGGUUCCUUCUCAUUUGGGUAGACUAUGUCAGAGGGAAGAUCUGGAACUCAAGCGCUGCUGUUCAGAUUCUUGUGUCCCAUGGGGGUGCUCCCUUGACCUGGUGCUCUCCCCUUUGCCCUAGGGAUGGGGCUUCCUGAGAGCCAAACUGCAGUGAUUGUUAGUUCUCUUCUGGAUCUAGCCACCCAGUGGAGCUACUGGGCUUUGGGCUGGUACUGGGGAGUAUCUGUAAAGAGUCUUUUGAUGUGAUUCAUCUUCAGGUCUCUCAGCUUUGGAUACCAACACCUACUCUGGUGGAGGUAGCAGGAGAAUGAAGUGGACUCUGUGAGAGUCCUUGGUUGUAUUUUUAUAUGUGUUGGUUUUUGUAUUUUCAUGUGUGUUGCUUUUGUGUUGGCUGGCCUCCAGGAAGGAGGUAGCACUUUCAAGAGCACAUCAGCUGUGAUUGUAUAAGGAGGAUACAAGCUUGCCCUAGGGUCACCGUUGGAUAAGUAUUCAGGUUUCUCAGGCAGUGGGCAGGGUCAUAGAGCUCCCAAAAGAUUAUGUUCUUUGUAUUCUGGCUACCAGGGUGAGUAGAGAAAGACCAUCAGGUGGGAGCAGGGUUAGGCAUGUCUGAGCUCAGUCUCUCUUGGGCAGAUUGGGGCUUGCUGUGGCUGCUGUGGCAGAUUGGGGUGUGGUUCACAGGCCAGUGCAGUUAUGUUCCUUGGGGGAUUAUGGCUGUCUGUUCUGCAUCACACAGGUUGCCAGGGAAAUGGGGGAAAGAUGGCAGCCACAGACCUCACCCACCUCCCACUCAGCCCAUGGCCUGAAAGGCCAGUUUCACUCCCACCAUGCCCCCAGCCCCACCCAAAAGCACUGAGUUUAUUUCUAGGCAGCUGAUGAGCAGGACUGAGAACUUGCCCCAGGCUACAAGCCUCCCAGCUGAGAAAGCAAGGGGACUCACAGUUCCUCGGCUGCCCAUGGAGCCUGCAGUGGCAAUCAACUGUCUUCAACGCAUCUGUGGAUUCUCUCAGCUUUCCUGGAGGAAGAGCAGAAUAUCUACUUUUAAUCGCUGUUGAAAGAACUAACCAAGAUAACUCACAGAAUAUGUCUGGCCUAGAAUAAAAUUUUAAUAAAUAUAAA